CCUAAAGGCUCCAUUCGUGCUUUUAUUCAUUCUUAUGCUGUUUUCUGAAUUGACCAACCGACACUGAAUUCGUGGAACUGUUUUGGGCAGGAGCCUUGUGUGCGGUCGGUGAACUAAGACUUCCACACUUUUUGAGAACCCCUGAACAGAUCUGGGUGAAAUUUGCAUAUGUUGGUCUCCAAGAUUGGGGCAUGUGUGGGGAUACCUUGUGUAUUAAGGGGUGUUCCAAGUUUUGGGGAAAUUGUGUGCUCUCUGCCUGGAGAUAAUUGGGUUAUUCCUUAACUUAUCUCAGAAUCGCU